rnacentral:rRNA from 1 species
UGGAAUAAACCUCUUUACGUGUAAGGAGCUGAAUGUACAGUAAGAAUAAGGAUCGGCUAACUCCGUGCCCAGCAGCCGCGGUAAUACGGAGGAUCCAAGCGUUAUCCGGAUUUAUUGGGUUUAAAGGGUGCGUAGGCGGCCAAUUAAGUCAGGGGUGAAAGACGGUAGCUUAACUAUCGCAGUGCCUUUGAUACUGAUUGGCUUGAAUGUACUUGAGGUAGGCGGAAUGUGACAAGUAGCGGUGAAAUGCAUAGAUAUGUCACAGAACACCAAUUGCGAAGGCAGCUUACUAAAGUAUGAUUGACGCUGAGGCACGAAAGCGUGGGGAUCAAACAGGAUUAGAUACCCUGGUAGUCCACGCCCUAAACGAUGAACACUCGAUGUUGGCGAUAUACGGUCAGCGUCUAAGCGAAAGCGUUAAGUGUUCCACCUGGGGAGUACGCCCGCAAGGGUGAAACUCAAAGGAAUUGACGGGGGCCCGCACAAGCGGAGGAGCAUGUGGUUUAAUUCGAUGAUACGCGAGGAACCUUACCCGGGCUUGAAAGUUAGUGAAUAGAGCAGAGACGCUCUAGUCCUUCGGGACACGAAACUAGGUGCUGCAUGGCUGUCGUCAGC